GACGGAAGGUGCAAGCGUUGCUCGGAAUCACUGGGCGUAAAGGGUGCGUAGGCGGCUUGGUAGGUCUGGUGUGAAAGCCCCGGGCUCAGCCCGGGAAGGGCACUAGAAACUGCCAAGCUAGAGUGCCGGAGGGGAGAGUGGAAUUCCUGGUGUAGCGGUGAAAUGCGUAGAGAUCAGGAGGAAUACCGGUGGCGAAAGCGACUCUCUGGACGGCAACUGACGCUGAGGCCCGAAAGCGUGGGGAGCAAACAGG
rnacentral:rRNA from 1 species